rnacentral:rRNA from 1 species
CCAACAGGGAUUGCCUCAGUAACGGCGAGUGAAGCGGCAACAGCUCAAAUUUGAAAUCUGGCCUCACGGUCCGAGUUGUAAUUUGCAGAGGAUGUCUCGGGCGCGAUACCGGUCUAAGUUCCUUGGAACAGGACGUCACAGAGGGUGAGAAUCCCGUACGUGACCGGUGGUCAACCCCAUGUGAGGCUCCUUCGACGAGUCGAGUUGUUUGGGAAUGCAGCUCUAAAUGGGUGGUAAAUUUCAUCUAAAGCUAAAUAUUGGCCAGAGACCGAUAGCGCACAAGUAGAGUGAUCGAAAGAUGAAAAGCACUUUGGAAAGAGAGUUAAAAAGUACGUGAAAUUGUUGAAAGGGAAGCGCUUGCAACCAGACUUGCCCGCGGGUGAUCAACCGUCCUUCGGGGCGGUGCACUCGCCCGCGAUCAGGCCAGUAUCGGUUUCAGCAGCCGGACAAAGACUUCGGGAACGUGGCUCCUCUCGGGGAGUGUUAUAGCCCGGGGUGUAAUACGGUUAGUUGGGACCGAGGACCGCGCUUCGGCUAGGAUACUGGCGUAAUGGUUGUCAGCGACCCGUCUUGAAACACGGACCAAGGAGUCUACCAUCUAUGCGAGUGUUUGGGUGUUAAACCCAUGCGCGCAAUGAAAGUGAACGGAGGUGGGAACCCUUCGGGGGGCACCAUCGACCGAUCCUGAUGUCUUCGGAUGGAUUUGAGUACGAGCAUAGCUGGUGGGACCCGAAAGAUGGUGAACUAUGCGUGAAUAG